AACACUGCUAUGUCUGUGUCUGUAAAACUUUCCUUUAGAACAGGGGUGGGCAAACUACGGCUUGCGGCUUGGAUCUGGCCCACCAGCCAUUUUAAGCUGGCCCUCGAGGUUGGCUGGGGAGUGGGGUCUGGAGCUUGCUCUGCUCCGGUGCUCCAGCCGGGGAGCAGGAUUGGGGGCCACUCCAUGUGGCUCCUAGAAACCGCGGCAUGGCCCUGCUCCGGCAUCCCAAUGGGAGCUGCAGGGGUGGUGCCUGCAGAUGGGGCAGUGUGCAGAGCCGCCUGACCGCACCUGCAUGUAGGAGCCGGAGAGGGAUGUGCUGCUGCUUCUAGGAGCCGCUUGAGGAAUUUCCAAUAAGUGACACCCCUGCAGUUGCUGCCCCAACACUACUCUCCAACCACUGUUGAAGAAACCACAUCUGCUCUAUCAUAUUCUUCCUAUGGAAGCAGAACUAUGGAAUAUUUUGGAUGACUGAACCACAUAAACAUCAAUUCUGCUCACGGCUGUUCCUCUGAAACCUUUCAUGAACACAGAGAGUGGAGUGGGAAUUAGAAAAUGUCGUGCCUUCCUCUGUGGCUGUGGCUUAAAUAAAGGGGAUCUUUGUUUCCGUGGCAGAAAUGUCACAAGGAGGGCAGGGCUGAAUGGAGUCCAGCAGUCGGUUACUCUUUCCUGUCUCAUGAGGUUUGUACACUCCAUCACACCCUCCUAAGCAGCACAUGAACACAGAACAUUCAAGUUCUUAUUUGAGAGGCUCUGUAUGCCCUGGUCUACACUAGGAGUUGAGGUCGAAUUUAGCAGCGUUAAAUCAAUUUAACUCUGCACCCGUCCACACAACGAAGCCCUUUUUUUUCGACUUAAAGGGCUCUUAAAAUUGAUUUCUUUACUCCACCCCCAACAAGGGGAUUAGCGUCGAAAUUGGCCUUGUCGGGUUGAAUAUGGGGUAGUGUGGACGCAAUUAAACAGUAUUGGCCUCCGGGAGCUAUCCCAGAGUGCUCCAUUGUGACCGCUCUGGACAGCACUCUCAACUCAGAUGCACUGGCCAGGUAGACGGGAAAAGGCCCGCAAACUUUUGAAUUUCAAUUUCCUGUUUGGCCAUCGUGGCAAGCUGCAGGUGAGUGCAGACCUCAUCAGCAGAGAUGACCAUGAUGGAGUCCCAGAAUCGCAAAAGAGCUCCAGCAUGGACCGAAUGGGAAGUACGGGAUCUGAUCGCUGUAUGGGGGAGGAAUCCGUGCUAUCAGAACUCCGUUCCAGUUUUCGAAAUGCCAAAACAUUUGUCAAAAUCUCCUAGGGCAUGAAGGACAGAGGCCAUAACAGGGACCCAAAGCAGUGCUGCGUGAAACUUAAGGAGCUGAGGCAAGCCUACCAGAAAACCAGAGAGGCAAACGGCUGCUCCGGGUCAGAGCCCCAAACAUUCCGCUUCUAUGAUGAGCUGCAUGCCAUUUUAGGGGGUUCAGCCACCACUACCCCAGCCGUGUUGUUUCACCACUCCAGCCAUGUCUCCUUCAAUGGAAAUGGAGGCAACACAAAAGCAGGUUUUGGGGACGAGGAAGAUAGCUCACAGCAAGGAAGCGGAGAAACCGGUUUUCCCGACAGCCAGGAACUGUUUCUCACCCUGGACCUGGAGCCAGUACCCCCCGAACCCACCCAAGGCUGCCUUCCGGACCCGCCAGGUGGAGAAGGGAUCUCUGCUGCAUGUGUUUCAAGGAUCACAGGAUCUUCUCCUUCCCAGAGGCUAGCAAAGAUUAGAAGGUGAAAAAAAUGCACUUGCGAUGAAAUGUUCUCUGAGCUCAUGCUGUCCUCCCACACUGACAGAGCACAGACAAAUGCGUGGAGGCAGACAAUGUCAGAGUGCAAGAAAGCACAAAAUGACCGGGAGGAGAGAUGGCGGGCUGAAGAGAGGGCUGAAGCUGAAAGGUGGCGGCAGCGUGAUGAGAGGAGGCAGGAUUCAAUGCUGAGGCUGCUGGAGGAUCAAACUAAUAUGCUCCAGCGUAUGGUUGAGCUGCAGGAAAGGCAGCUACAGCUGCUACAGCCCCUGUGUAACCAACUUCCCUCCUCCCCAAGUUCCAUAGCCUCCUCAUCCAGAUGCCCAAGAACGCGGUGGGGGGCCUCCAGUCACCCAGCAACUCCACCCCAGAGGAUUGCCCAAGCAACAGAAGGCUAGCAUUCAAUAAGUUUUAAACUUUUAAAGUGCUGUGUGGCCUUGUCCUUCCCUCCUCCACCACCCCUCCUGGUGCUUCUCUCCUCCACCACCUCUCCUGGGCUACCUUGGCAGUUAUCCCCCUAUUUGUGUGAUGAAUUAAUAAAGAAUGCAUGAAUG